CCGCUCGAUGAUGAUGACAUGGUCUCCUACAUCCUUGCAGGGCUGGACUACGACUACAUCUCGUUUGUCUUGUCCAUCUGCGCCGCGAGGACUGAACCAAUCAAGGUAGCUGAACUUUACUCUCAGUUGAUCGGCUUUGAAA
rnacentral:snoRNA from 1 species